rnacentral:rRNA from 1 species
AAAGGAGGCGACUCCGGAGACGGAUGGGCAUGCGUGACAUUAGCUUGUUGGCGGGGUAACGGCCCACCAAGGCGACGAUGUCUAGGGGUUCUGAGAGGAAGGUCCCCCACACUGGUACUGAGACACGGACCAGACUCCUACGGGAGGCAGCAGUGAGGAAUAUUGGUCAAUGGGCGAGAGCCUGAACCAGCCAAGUCGCGUGAAGGAUGACGGCCCUACGGGUUGUAAACUUCUUUUGUCAGGGAGCAAUUGGGUCCACGUGUGGGCUUAGCGAGAGUACCUGAAGAAAAAGCAUCGGCUAACUCCGUGCCAGCAGCCGCGGUAAUACGGAGGAUGCGAGCGUUAUCCGGAUUUAUUGGGUUUAAAGGGUGCGUAGGCGGAAUAUCAAGUCAGCGGUAAAAAUUCGGGGCUCAACCCCGUCGUGCCGUUGAAACUGAUGUUCUUGAGUGGGCGAGAAGUAUGCGGAAUGCGUGGUGUAGCGGUGAAAUGCAUAGAUAUCACGCAGAACUCCGAUUGCGAAGGCAGCAUACCGGCGCCCAACUGACGCUGAAGCACGAAAGCGUGGGUAUCGAACAGGAUUAGAUACCCUGGUAGUCCACGCAGUAAACGAUGAAUGCUAAUUGUCCGGAGGGAUUGACCUCUGG